GGGGGGGGCACCGAAAAAAAUGUUCACAAUGAAAGGGGGUCUCUGAAAUUUUAAGGUGUCUUGAGUCAAAAUCUUCCCUCCCCCCCCCCUCGGUGUAAUUAAUGAACACUCCCUUAUUUAGAAAACAGUAAAACCAAUUGCUUUAAAAGAAGUAUGCAAGUAGCCAUGAAUUGUAGGGGGUGGGGAGGGGGUAGCACAGUUAUAGCGGCCAGUUCCUAUGAUUUUUAACAGGGAGGGGAUUUGUUUACCCAUUAAGAAGACUUAUUUCCCUAAUGCAACAUGACCUAAAGUCAUUGUGAGCCUUUUUUUUUAUUAAACAGGACUUCCAAUCCAACAGCCUCUCUCGUCUCGUUCAAACCCUGUAUUCCCCCAUCCCUGUCCCUCCCCUCCCACCAAUACAGUACCUUCCAUUAAUUGCAUAAGAAGAGCUAAUCGCUUUGCUGCCACCAAUUGGUUGUCAUGCACUUUUUUUCAAGUUGCUGUCCUUACAAGAGUUGUCAUUUUAUUGCUCCAGUGCUUUAUAUGGGUGUUUGCUUUUAAUUUAUCAAAACAUGUGCUUGUAAUGAAUAUCCUUUUUAGGAUGAUUGUUCUGUUUCUUAUUUUGUUAUGUUUUUCUAUUCAAAGGGUUGGAGAGAGUGCCAAAAAAGAUGACAGGCUAGAGGGCUCCUGGAGCAUAAACUAAAAGAAAAAAUAAGAGGGCGACAGGACAGGGCGAUGAAAGAGUUGGCUGGGAAGUAUACUUCCCUGCUUACUCGCGUAUACAGGGAUAGGUUAAGGGUUUUUCGUGAUCCGUAAUCGGACACAAAUUUGCGCCGUUAAACAGUGAAAUAUUUGCCGUGAAAAAAAUCUGUAAAACGUGACAACUCCCUCAUAUACUAUGCAAAAAAGCCUUACUGAGGUCGUAAGUGAGUUGUGAUUGUAAUUAGUGCCUAUGGCUAUUUUUUUGCCAUUUUCAAAAUGAUAUUAUCUGUUCUUCGAAAUCGCGAAUAAAUUGGUCUGUGAUUCGUGAUUACACUACCCACCUCCCCCUUCAGCUUCCUGUAUAUAGCCUCCCCUGUUCUGGGGUCGGUUGUUUUCUUUUUCUUUAAUAUUUGUUAUCAAAAAUAAAAGUAUUACACAUUGAAAUGCGCUUUUGGUUAUCUGCUACCGACGAUUAUGGGAGAUGGGAGAUCCUGUGUGUAUCAUAUUUCUCUAACAUUAUCAACAUAAAUUAUACUUAUAACUAAAUAGCACAAUUUAUUUCUUUUCAUGGUAUAAGCAAAUAUUUAUUUGAUAUCGCAUAAGCGAUUCAGGGGAAAUGUCUUUCUGAUUCUCUGUUGAAAAUUCCUUUUGAGAGAUGUCGGGAUUUUUGUUAAAUUCCUUUCGAUUUGUGUUACAAAGUUCUCAGAAUUUCUUAAGAAUUCUUAAGAAUUGUUGAGAAUUGUUAAGAAUUCCCGAAAAUUUCCAGCGCUGCGCUCACGUACUGUUCAAAAUUCUUGAGAAUUCUUAAGAAUUCUUGAGAAUGGGCAAGAAUUCGUUGCCCAUUUAACGCGAAAGAAUUUAUGGAAUGUUGUUGGGAAUUGUUGAGAAUUCUCGACUUUUUUUCGCAAGAAUUCUUAAGAAUUCGCGCGUUUAUUUCGGCAUAGCUAUGCGACUUGGUUUUGUGGUCAUCGCGCGGUUACCCUGUGGUGUCACUCGCCAGUCAGUCGCGCAACUCCCAGGCCCCACUCGGGGCCACCGUCACACGUGACUAACCUUUGUAACCAGGUUAGUCACCAACCUGACAUGCGUUAGACCCAGUUCUUUGGGAAGUCGCAGUCGGAACUAG